rnacentral:rRNA from 1 species
GGAAUAUUGGUCAAUGGGCGGAAGCCUGAACCAGCCAAGUCGCGUGAAGGAUGAAGGUUCUAUGGAUUGUAAACUUCUUUUAUUCGAGGGUAAAGGACGUUACGUGUAGCGUUUUGCAAGUAUCGAAUGAAUAAGCAUCGGCUAACUCCGUGCCAGCAGCCGCGGUAAUACGGAGGAUGCGAGCGUUAUCCGGAUUUAUUGGGUUUAAAGGGUGCGUAGGCGGAUAGUUAAGUCAGUGGUGAAAGCGUGCGGCUCAACCGUACCGAGCCAUUGAAACUGGUUAUCUUGAGUGCAAACGAGGUAGGCGGAAUGUGACGUGUAGCGGUGAAAUGCUUAGAUAUGUCCCAGAACUCCGAUUGCGAAGGCAGCUUACCAGCAUGCGACUGACGCUGAGGCACGAAAGCGUGGGUAUCAAACA